UACGGAGGGUGCGAGCGUUGUCCGGAAUCACUGGGCGUAAAGGGCGCGUAGGCGGCGCGGGAAGUCCGUGGUGAAAGCCCGAGGCUCAACUUCGGGUCGGCCAUGGAUACUCCUGGGCUCGAGCACUGUAAAGGCAGGUGGAAUUCCGGGUGUAGCGGUGGAAUGCGUAGAGAUCCGGAAGAACACCGGUGGCGAAGGCGGCCUGCUGGGCAGUAGCUGACACUGAGGCGCGACAGCGUGGGGAGCAAACAGG
rnacentral:rRNA from 1 species